rnacentral:rRNA from 1 species
UACGGAGGGUGCAAGCGUUAUCCGGAUUCACUGGGUUUAAAGGGUGCGUAGGAGGGUAGGUAAGUCAGUGGUGAAAUCUUCGAGCUUAACUCGGAAACUGCCGUUGAUACUAUCUAUCUUGAAUACCGUGGAGGUGAGCGGAAUAUGUCAUGUAGCGGUGAAAUGCUUAGAUAUGACAUAGAACACCAAUUGCGAAGGCAGCUGGCUACGCGAAUAUUGACACUGAUGCACGAAAGCGUGGGGAUCAAACAGG